rnacentral:rRNA from 1 species
UACCAGACUCCUACGGGAGGCAGCAGUGGGGAAUAUUGGACAAUGGGGGAAACCCUGAUCCAGCGACGCCGCGUGAGUGAAGAAGUAUUUCGGUACGUAAAGCUCUAUCAGCAGGAAAGAAAAUGACGGUACCUGACUAAGAAGCCCCGGCUAACUACGUGCCAGCAGCCGCGGUAAUACGUAGGGGGCAAGCGUUAUCCGGAUUUACUGGGUGUAAAGGGAGCGUAGACGGCAGUGCAAGUCUGAAGUGAAAGCCCCGGGCUUAACCCGGGAAUUGCUUUGGAAACUGUACGGCUGGAGUGCUGGAGAGGUAAGCGGAAUUCCUAGUGUAGCGGUGAAAUGCGUAGAUAUUAGGAGGAACACCAGUGGCGAAGGCGGCUUACUGGACUGUAACUGACACUGAGGCACGAAAGCGUGGGGAGCAAACAGGAUUAGAUACCCCUGUACU